rnacentral:rRNA from 1 species
CAUGUGGUUUAAUUCGACGCAACGCGAAGACCUUACAGGGCUUGACAUCCCCUGACCGCGUAUGAAAGUACGUUUUCGACCCUCGGGUGACAGGGAGACAGGUGGUGCAUGGGUUGUCGUCAGCUCGUGUCGUGAGAUGUUGGGUUAAGUCCCGCAACGAGCGCAACCCCUACGUUUAGUUGCUAACAGGUGAAGCUGAGCACUCUAGACGAACUGCCGUUGACAAAACGGAGGAAGGUGGGAUGACGUCAAAUCAUCAUGCCCUUAUGUUCUGGGCUACACACAUGCUACAAUGGCCGGUACAGACGGAGGCGAAGCCGCGAGGCGGAGCAAAUCCGAAAAAGCCGGUCUCAGUUCGGAUUGCAGGCUGCAAUUCGCCUGCAUGAAGUCGGAAUCGCUAGUAAUCGCAGGUCAGCAUACUGCGGUGAAUACGUUCCCGGGCCUU